rnacentral:rRNA from 1 species
CCUGGUUGAUCCUGCCAAUAGUCAUUGCUUGCCUUAAAGAUUAAGCUAUGCUUGUGUAAGUUUAAACUAAUUUAGAUGGCAAAAUUACAAAUGGCUCAUUAAAUCAGGUACAAUUUGUUUGAUGGUAUCUACUACUCAAAUAGCCAUAGUAAUUCUAGAACUAAUACAUGCAACAAACCCAAACUUCUAGAUGGGAUGCAUUUAUUAGAUAAAAGGUCAACAUGGGCUUUGCCCAUUACUCUAAUGAUUCAUGAUAACUCGAUAGACGCAUAGCUUUUAAUUUGGUGAUGCAUCAUUUAAAUUUUUGCCCUAUUAACUUUCGAUGGUAGGGUAAUAGCCUACUAUAGUGGUGAUGGGUGAUGGAGAAUUAGGGUUUUAUUGCAAAUAGGGAGCCUGAGAGAUAGCUACCACAUCCAUGGAGGGCAACAGGCAUGCAAAUUACCCAAUCUUGGCAUGGAGAAGUAGUCAAAAUAAAUAAUAAUAUCGAGCUCUAUGAGUCUGGUAAAUAGAAUGAGUAUAAUCUAAACCCCUUAAUAAGAAUCCAUUAGAGGGCAAGUUUGGUGCUAGCAGCUACAAUAAUUCCAGCUCUAAUAGCAUAUAUUUAAGUUGUUAUAGUUAAAAAGCUCAUGGAUGGAACAGGGGUUGGGUUGUCCAGUACAUCUUACAAUGAGCAUCGGUCUACUCGUUCCUACUAUCAAUAAUGUGCUCAUGGCCUUAACUAGCCAAGUCAUUCCUUAAGCACUGUUACUUUGAAGAAAUUAGAGUGCUUAAAGCAGGCCUAUGCUUGUAUACAUUAGCAUAGGAUAAAAUCACAGGAUUUUGGUCCUAUUAUGUUGGCCCUCAGGAUUGUAAUAAUGAUUAACAAAGACAAUAAAGGGCAUUCAUAUUUCAUAGUCAGAGGUGAAAUUCUUGGAUUUAUGAAAGAUGAACAAUUGUGAAAGCAUUUACCAAGGAUGUUUUCAUUAAUCAAGAAUAAAAGUUGGGGGCUUGAAGAUGUUCGGAUAUCAUCCUAGUCUCAACCAUAGAUGCUAUUGACCAGGAUUGGCGGAUGUUACUUUUACGACUCCAUUGCAUCCUAUGAGAAAUCAAAGUUUUUGGGUUCUUGAAGGAGUAUGGUCACAAGGCUAAAACUUAAAUGAAUUGAUGGAAGCACACCACCAAAAGUGGAGCCUAUGGCUUAAUUUGACACAAUACAAGGAAACUUCCCAUAUCUAGACAUAGUAGGCAUUGACAUACUGAGAGCUCUUUCCUGAUUCUAUGGGUGGUGGUGUAUGGUCGUUUUUAGUUGGUGGAGUAAUUUUUCUAGUUAAUUCCAUUAAUUAACAAGACUUUAGCUUGCUAACUAGCUAC